GAGUUUGAUCCUGGCUCAGGAUGAACGCUAGCGGCAGGCUUAACACAUGCAAGUCGAGGGGGUAUAGGUUUUUCGGACCUAGAGACCGGCGCACGGGUGCGUAACGCGUAUGCAAUCUACCUUUUACAGAGGGAUAGCCCAGAGAAAUUUGGAUUAAUACCUCAUAGUAUUAUGAUAAGGCAUCUUAUUAUAAUUAAAGUUCCAACGGUAAAAGAUGAGCAUGCGUCCCAUUAGCUAGAUGGUAAGGUAACGGCUUACCAUGGCGACGAUGGGUAGGGGUCCUGAGAGGGAGAUCCCCACACUGGUACUGAGACACGGACCAGACUCCUACGGGAGGCAGCAGUGAGGAAUAUUGGUCAAUGGGCGCAAGCCUGAACCAGCCAUGCCGCGUGCAGGAUGACGGUCCUAUGGAUUGUAAACUGCUUUUGUACAGGGAAGAAACAGUUCUACGUGUAGAACCUUGACGGUACUGUAAGAAUAAGGAUCGGCUAACUCCGUGCCAGCCG
rnacentral:rRNA from 1 species